AACGUAGGAGACAAACGUUAUCCGGAGUUACUGGGCGUAAAGGGCGUGUAGGUGGUUUCGUAAGUCUGGCGUGAAAUUUCCCGGCUUAACCGGGAGUGGUCGUCGGAUACUGCGGGACUAGAGGACGGUAGAGGCGUGUGGAAUUCCGGGUGUAGUGGUGAAAUGCGUAGAGAUCCGGAGGAACACCAGUGGCGAAGGCGACACGCUGGGCCGUACCUGGCACUGAUGCGCGACAGCAUGGGGAGCAAACAGG
rnacentral:rRNA from 1 species